rnacentral:rRNA from 1 species
AGUGAACGCUGGCGGCAGGCCUAACACAUGCAAGUCGAACGGCAGCACGGCUGUAGCAAUACUGUGGGUGGCGAGUGGCGGACGGGUGAGGAAUACAUCGGGAUCUACCCUGUUGUGGGGGAUAACGUAGGGAAACUUACGCUAAUACCGCAUAAGAACUGAGGUUGAAAGCGGCGGACCGCAAGGCGUCGCGCGAUUGGAUGAACCGAUGUCCGAUUAGCUAGUUGGCGGGGUAAAGGCCCACCAAGGCGACGAUCGGUAGCUGGUCUGAGAGGACGACCAGCCACACUGGAACUGAGACACGGUCCAGACUCCUACGGGAGGCAGCAGUGGGGAAUUUUGGACAAUGGGCGCAAGCCUGAUCCAGCCAUGCCGCGUGAGUGAAGAAGGCC